rnacentral:rRNA from 1 species
CCUACGGGGGGCAGCAGUGGGGAAUAUUGCGCAAUGGGCGCAAGCCUGACGCAGCGACGCCGCGUGAGGGAUGAAGGUCUUCGGAUCGUAAACCUCUGUCAGCAGGGAAGAACGGUCACUGUGCUAAUCAGCAGUGAAUUGACGGUACCUGCAAAGGAAGCACCGGCUAACUCCGUGCCAGCAGCCGCGGUAAUACGGAGGGUGCGAGCGUUAAUCGGAAUUACUGGGCGUAAAGCGCUCGUAGGCGGUAUGUCAAGUCAAGGGUGAAAUCCCCGGGAUCAACGUGGGAACUGCCUUUGAAACUGGCAAACUGGAGUGUGUGAGAGGAUAGUGGAAUUCCAGGUGUAGGGGUGAAAUGCGUAGAUAUCUGGAGGAACAUCAGUGGCGAAGGCGACUAUCUGGCACAUAACUGACGCUGAGGAGCGAAAGCGUGGGUAGCAAACAGGAUUAGAUACCCGGGUAGUC